GACGAACGCUGGCGGCGUGCUUAACACAUGCCAGUCGAACGGAAAGGCCCUGCUUUUGUGGGGUGCUCGAGUGGCGAACGGGUGAGUAACACGUGAGUAACCUGCCCUUGACUUUGGGAUAACUUCAGGAAACUGGGGCUAAUACCGGAUAGGAGCUCCUGCUGCAUGGUGGGGGUUGGAAAGUUUCGGCGGUUGGGGAAGGACUCGCGGCUUAUCAGCUUGUUGGUGGGGUAGUGGCUUACCAAGGCUUUGACGGGUAGCCGGCCUGAGAGGGUGACCGGCAACAUUGGGACUGAGAUACGGCCCAGACUCCUACGGGAGGCAGCAGUGGGGAAUAUUGCACAAUGGGCGGAAGCCUGAUGCAGCAACGCCGCGUGCGGGAUGACGGCCUUCGGGUUGUAAACCGCUUUCGCCUGUGACGAAGCGUGAGUGACGGUAAUGGGUAAAGAAGCACCGGCUAACUACGUG
rnacentral:rRNA from 1 species